UGGGGAAUAUUGCACAAUGGGCGCAAGCCUGAUGCAGCCAUGCCGCGUGUGUGAAGAAGGCCUUCGGGUUGUAAAGCACUUUCAGCGAGGAGGAAGGGUAGUGUGUUAAUAGCACAUUGCAUUGACGUUACUCGCAGAAGAAGCACCGGCUAACUCCGUGCCAGCAGCCGCGGUAAUACGGAGGGUGCAAGCGUUAAUCGGAAUUACUGGGCGUAAAGCGCACGCAGGCGGUUUGUUAAGUCAGAUGUGAAAUCCCCGCGCUUAACGUGGGAACUGCAUUUGAAACUGG
rnacentral:rRNA from 1 species